GGGUGGGAGGAGAAGAGGCCGCGCGGCACGGGUUCAUUCAUGCAGAGGGCAUUUAUUGGGUGACUGCAGUACUGCAAAAGGUUGCAAAGGAAAUGGAAGAUCUGGUCCCUGCAGGUUGGGAGUUUACAAUCUAAUUAGAAAUACAAGGCAUAUAUACGUGAAAAAACUAGAAUCCCCAGCUGUAAGCAAAAGGAUGGAGUAGGUGGGAGCAUUUUUUUCAUAAAGAGAGCUUUGUACCUGUAUGAUUGGUGAGGAGCAGGAGAGGCAAGUUCAGUACCAAUCAAGGCAAGAGCACCUAUAUGUAUCCCUGCUCUAUAGAAUGAUGUAACAGGGCCCUCAUUGUCACUUGGCUGAAGUGUCAGCUCUGCCACUUACAAACUGUUUUGAACUGGGGCACAUUUUUAACCUAAGAAGGGAAUACAGGUUGUCUCGUGAGGUGGUUGUGCAGUUCAAAUGAGAUUACAAACGUGAAAGCUUGUGAAGCUCAAUGAUGUACAUUCAUGGAGUCCUCAUUGUACAAACUGGCCCUUCUUGGUAACCUUUAGAGUUCCCUCCCAGGCUGUAAGCUGCAAGAGGGCAGGGACCAGGUCUGAUUGUAUUCAUCAUGUAUCACAAUGUUUAGCAGAAGGGUUCAUGUGGGUGUUCAAUA
rnacentral:lncRNA from 10 species